UAGCAAUACGGAUUCUUGACAAGAAAGAUGGGGGUAGUGGCAGACGGGGUAGUAACACGUAGGAACUUCCCUCAGAGACGGGUAUAACCAGCCGAAAGGUUGGCUAAUUCCCGAUAGUAUCUAACGAUUAAAUCAAUUAGAUUGGCUCUGAGAAAGGCCUGCGAGCUAUCAGCUUGUUGGUGAGGUAAUGGCUCACCAAGGCUAUGACGGCUAGGGGGCGUGAGAGCGCGACCCCCACCAAUGGAACUGAGACACGGUCCAUACACCUACGGGUGGCUGCAGUCAAGAACAUUCGACAAUGGGCGAAAGCCUGAUCGAGCGACGCCGCGUGCGGGAAGAAGCUCUUCGGAGUGUAAACCGCUUUUAUAGGGGAGGAACGUAAGUGACUGUACCCUAAGAAUAAGGCCUUGCUAACCUCGUGCCAGCAGCCGCGGUAAGACGAGGAGGCCAAGCGUUAUCCGGAUUUAUUGGGCGUAAAGGGUGUGUAGGAGGCAUAGUUAGUCUCUGUUCAAAUUUCACCGCUUAACGGUGAAACCGGCAGGGAAACGGCUAAGCUAUAGAGGGUGCCAGAGGCAAAUGGAACUCAUGGUGUAGGGGUGAAAUCCGUUGAUAUCAUGGGGAACACCAAAGGCGAAGGCAAUUUGCUGGGGCAUUCCUGACUCUGAAACACGAAAGCGUGGGGAUCAAAAAGGAUUAGAUACCCUUGUAGUCCACGCCCUAAACGUUGCACGCUAGACAUUCGAAGUAUCGACCCUUCGAGAGUCGUAAGCUAACGCGUUAAGCGUGCCGCCUGGGAAGUACGAUCGCAAGAUUAAAACUCAAAGGAAUAGACGGGGACUCGCACAAGCGGUGGAGCAUGUGGUUCAAUUCGACGGUAAACGAAAAACCUUACCAGGGCUUGAAAUGGAUUUGACGGUGUCCGAAAGGAUUACCUUCUCACAAGGACAAAUUCACAGGUGCUGCAUGGCUGUCGUCAGUUCGUGGCUUGAGUUGUUCCCUUAAGUGGGGUAACGAACGCAACCCUUAUCGCGCGUUACAGGUGUCGCGCGAGACUGCCUCGAUAAACGGGGAGGAAGGCGGGGAUGACGCCAAGUCCGCAUGGCCCUCUGAUGCCCUGGGCUACACACGUGCUACAAUGCGCUUUACAAUGGGCCGCGAUACCGCAAGGUGGAGCUAAUCCCAUCAAAGAAGCGCUCAGUUCGGAUUGAAGUCUGAAACCCGACUUCAUGAAGUUGGAAUCGCUAGUAAUCGCAGGUCAGCUAUACUGCGGUGAAUACGUUCUCGAGUCUUGUACUCACCGCCCGUCAUUGCAGGGAAGCUGGGAAUACCCGAAGCUCGUUUUUUAACGGAUUAAGGUAAGCUCGGUGACAAAGCAAAAGUCGAAACAAGGCA
rnacentral:rRNA from 1 species